UAAUGUCUAAUUUUUUUCUAGUCACACGAACACGCACACAAACACAAACAUUUUCGUGCGUGAAAUGAAAGUUUCAACACGUAGGCCUAUAAAAACUAAUCUGCGGAUGAUGACAUUCAUAAUGAAACUGAAACAAUUCUGGGAUGUGGUUUAUGGAAACUCAAGAAACUAUCUCGUGUCCAUUACAUAGAUGUUAUUAACUGCUGUCUCAACUUAAUCUCACUUUUCGAAGAAAGGGAUUUUAGCUUGACCUGAAACUGCGCAAAGCUCUUGAUUUUUUGGGUCGAGUUGACCUGAACAACAGAUAAACGACGAUAGGAAAAGUAAAUAUUGAAAGAAAUACUCAAUACGGACUCAGGAAAGAUGAAAAGGUGCCUCCUUUCGAACAUGGUUAUGGUUGUGUUCUGGUGGAAGCAGACAAACUACACAGGACAGCACACGAUUUCCACAUGGAGAAGCUAAGGUACAGCUUGCUUAAUUUCCUAUUUGGUGUCACAAUAUAACUGCUGUAAACAGUGUUUCAGCGGAGCAUGGCUUGGGCUUGUCCACUAUUUAGCUCCACUAUGUGUUUGUUAGUUAGUGUCUGUAGUCUGUGUCUGUGUGUUAGCAUAGUAUAUUCUCGUCUAUAUUAUAUUCUUGGUUUGAUUCGUUGUGUUUCUGUCGGUGUGUGAUCUAUCUAUGUGUCUAUCCAUCUAUCUGGGUGGGUGGAUGUUUGGAAUGGUAGAAGAGCCUUUGGAGCGAGAGCGUGAGUGAGUCAGAGAGAACAUACAAUAAUUGUGUAUUUUAGCCUUGAAGUAACACUCUAUAGUUGCACAGUUGAAACCAGUUUGAACUUAAUUACUGGGUUGUUCAAAGUCUCCUUCCUUUUGAUCUGUCGUCAGCCCUGAGGAUCCAAGCUCAAUGUUUACUCUCAAUAGCUUUAUAGCUUUAUCGCGUUAAUGCUCUAAUACAGUUUCCAAAAUGAAUCUCUUUUUACUUCUUAUUUUUAUUUAACUGAUUUGUUUCAGUUUAAAAGUGCCUACUAUUGUUCAAAUGCAUGUAGGCUACUUGGUAUAGCCUACCAGUGUAACAAAGAAUGAGAUCAUACGGGGUUGCACCGGCUGAAGGAGGUGAUAAAACAUCAUUUUAAUCCCCUGUGGUAUCGUGGUGCCGGGCACUCAAGAGUGCUAAAAGUUAAUCAUGUGGUUUAUCCAGAGAUGCAAGGUUAACAAGCCGAAGCUCGCUCAAAGUCUAGUUAAACUUCAGCCUGUCUUGGCCUGGGCGGAAAAGGGUCGGACUUAUCUCAGACCAAUAGCACUGUAGCCUAUGGUGUUGUGUCACUGUUGACCACUCCGUGUUGAAGACGAAGCUAUAUAGGACCACUGUCUGCACUACAAAUAUGUGGUUAAGUUAUCUCAAUUUAGCUUGAAUAUCACGUGGUCUAAAUACGGCAGAGGAAAUUAAUUUACAUCAGGGAGAAGCCAGCAAAUUUCUGACUUUUAACCAUGUAGAGGCAGACGGACCGACC